UACGAAGGGGGCUAGCGUUGUUCGGAAUUACUGGGCGUAAAGCGCGCGCAGGCGGCUAUCCAAGUCAGUGGUGAAAGCCCUGGGCUCAACCUGGGAAUGGCAUUGGAUACUGGCGAUCUAGAGUGCGGUAGAGGGCAGUGGAAUUCCCGGUGUAGCAGUGAAAUGCGUAGAGAUCGGGAGGAACAUCUGUGGCGAAGGCGACUGCCUGGACCAGCACUGACACUGAGGCACGAAAGCGUUGGGAGCAAACAGG
rnacentral:rRNA from 1 species